rnacentral:pre_miRNA from 1 species
ACAGGGAGAGGGGGCAGCCUGGCUCAGCCCACCAACCCCAGGUCUGCCUCCUCUUCCUUCAG